UACGGAGGGUGCAAGCGUUGUCCGGAAUCACUGGGCGUAAAGGGCGCGUAGGCGGCUCAUGAAGGCUGUGGUGAAAGUCCGGGGCUCAACCUCGGAUCGGCCGUGGCGACUCGUGGGCUGGAGCACUGUAGAGGCGGGUGGAAUUCCGGGUGUAGCGGUGGAAUGCGUAGAGAUCCGGAAGAACACCAGUGGCGAAGGCGGCCCGCUGGGCAGUGGCUGACGCUGGAGGCGCG
rnacentral:rRNA from 1 species